rnacentral:tRNA from 1 species
GGCGACGUAGCCAAGUGGUAAGGCAGAGGUCUGCAAAACCUCCAUCACCGGUUCGAAUCCGGUCGUCGCCUCCA